CCUACGGGUGGCAGCAGUGGGGAAUAUUGCACAAUGGGGGAAACCCUGAUGCAGCAACGCUGCGUGAGCGAUGAAGGCCUUCGGGUCGUAAAGCUCUGUCCUAAGGGAAGAAUACUGACGGUACCUUAGGAGGAAGCCCCGGCUAACUACGUGCCAGCAGCCGCGGUAAUACAUAGGGGGCGAGCGUUAUCCGGAAUCACUGGGCGUAAAGGGUGCGUAGGCGGGCAAUUAAGCCAGAGGUGAAAGGCUACGGCUCAACCGUAGUAAGGCUUUGGAAGUGAAUGGGUUGAGUGCAGGAGAGGAGAGUGGAAUUCCUAGUGUAGCGGUGAAAUGCGUAGAUAUUAGGAGGAACACCAGUGGCGAAGGCGACUCUCUGGACUGUAACUGACGCUGAGGCACGAAAGCGUGGGGAGCAAACAGGAUUAGAUACCCCAGUAGUC
rnacentral:rRNA from 1 species